ACAGAGCACAUGAACACUUACAUGUAAAAAACAUAACAGCGGCUAUGAAGCCUGAGCCUACCUGUCAACAGAAACCGAAGAUGAAAUGCAGUCAGAAGAAGGGAAUACAUGCUUUAUAUCAUUUAUAGUAUAGUAUCACCUAAUGGAACCUUUUGGAAAGAAACCCUGCAAAGAUUGUUCAAAACACCCUACAGGAUGCAAACAGGAGACCACAUCAUUGCCUAAGCUCUACAUGAAAGAUUCCUACAGAGUGCAACUACACAGCUUUGUGUUGACGAUAUCCUAAUCAAGACCUGGGAACAGCGCAGUACAAAGAAACAGAUCAUAUAAGCUACUAUACAG